GCUGCAAGCUGGCAGGACCCCCCACCGCCCUGACUGAGAACAUGUGGCAUGGUAAUGUGGGAACUAUGGCAACAGAAUCCCCAUAGAACCCCAAGAGAACCCCAAUGGAUCCCCAACAGAUCACCAACAGAACGUGGGGGGGGACAAACAGCCCAGCAGAACAGUGAGAAGAAGAGUCCCAACAACACCCAGGGAUACUGAGGACAUAGAGGGUGUGCCAGGCACCUCCCAGCCAGCAGAUCUCUGCCUGCUCCUUGUGGCGGGGAAUCUCCUGGAUAUUCCUGCCCAAAGACCACGAGCAACACAUUCUCCAUCAGCUCAGCCCACAGGAUCUGUGCCGAAGGAAUCCAGGCUGCUCUUCCAGCUGGGGAAAAAAAAUAGGUCUGAUUCCCCAGCCACAGUAAAUCAGCAUAAUACCACCCUUCCCACCACCAACGCUGCUGCAGCAACACGGAUUUACACCAUCUGGAGAUGAGGCUCUCUCCUCCCGUCUGCCCGAUGUAAACAUAUAGACAUGUCUAAUCUUCCUGGCAGAGGGAAGGUAGAGAAAGGGAAUUGAAUAAACAAUCUUGUUAAGAGGCAAACAAAGACCAAAUUCUUUUUCAGUGUACUUUAAACAGCCCUCAGUUCAUUAAGAACAAUCUUUAUAGGAAUAUCCAAAUCUUUUUUUUUAACUUUUUUCUUAAAAUAUGUUACCACAUGUGCUUGGCACCAAGGGAAAUGGGUAUAAGCACCUGUUUUAGGUAAAACUGUUACACUGUUCCACGAACACGCUGCAAGGUAAUUUUUUGGAUUAUAUUUUAUAAAUUACAUUCAUAUAAAUUGUAAAUAUGUUAUAAACAUUUAACAUGUAAAUUUAAUUAUCCAACAUUUAUAAAAAUAACUGUAAUAAAUUCAUAACUUUCACCCUGAAAGAGUGCAGACUUUAUUUCUUCCCCAAAUUAUGAAAAUGUUAUGGACUGAAGUAAAACCUCUGAUGACAAAUCAAGGGAAAUCAGUCUUAAAAGUUCCCUGGCUAAAGUCAUUACAUGAAUGCAAACAAAAAGAGAUUUCCCCCCAUGUGAAGGUUUGUAAGAGGGCACCCCACAGUUCCAGCUCCCCGCAGGGCUGGCCUGAGCUGUCCUUGAGGGCCUGGCCAUGAUUUGGGGUGCAUGCAGCCAGCUGUCCAUGCAUUGCUGAGGCUGCACCCCGGCCCCUCAUGGGCAGGCAGGUUGGUCGGUCUGAGCAUGUCUCAUCCUCAAGCAAACACCAGCCUGACCCAUGGAGCAUCCCAAGUCACCCACCUACCCCCUGGUCCCAGGAACAGGGGUUUCCAUAAGAUUUGGGCUUGAUACUGAUCCCAGUUAACCUGCACAUAGCCCUUUACUGGGCUCUACUCCUCCUGUGCAAGGCAGGAAUUAUGGCAUUUUACUGUCUCAGGAGAGCUGGUAGAGCAAAUACACAAUGGAGGCACCAGAGCACCACUACUCUCCCUAUUCCUCAUAAG
rnacentral:lncRNA from 13 species